GACGAACCGUGCGAACGUUAUUCGGAAUCACUGGGCUUAAAGGGCGCGUAGGCGGGCCGGUCAGUCAGAGGUGAAAGCCCCCAGCUUAACUGGGGAAGUGCCCCUGAUACUGCCGGCCUCGAGGGAGGUAGGGGCGUGCGGAACUUCCGGUGGAGCGGUGAAAUGCGUAGAUAUCGGAAGGAACACCGGUGGCGAAGGCGGCGCGCUGGACCUCUUCUGACGCUGAGGCGCGAAAGCUAGGGGAGCAAACGGG
rnacentral:misc_RNA from 1 species